CUAACUGCGUGCCAGAAGCGUCGGUAAGACGUGGGCCCCGAGCGUUAUCCGGUGUUACUGGGCGUAAAGAGUCGUGUAGGCGGUUCGAAAAGUUACCUUUUAAAUCCCAAUGCUCAACAUUGGAACUGGAGGUAAUACUCUCGAACUAGAGUUUUCUACAGGGUGAAUGGAACUGUGGGAGGAGUAGUAAAAUGCGUUGAUCCCCACGGGAACACCAGUGGCGAAGGCGGUUCACUGGUAGAAGACUGACGCUGAGACACGAAAGCUAGGGUAUCGAAGCAGAUUAGAGACCUGCGUAGUCCUAGCCGUAAACGCAUGCUUGCUAGCUGCAUUUCCGCCCCUUCGGGGGUUAGGUGUGGCGAAGGUAACCCGUUAAGCAAGCCGCCUGGGGAUUACGGUCGCAAGACUAAAACUCAAAGGAAUUGGCGGGGAGGCACACAACCAGUGGAACAUGUGGUUUAAUUCGAAACAAACCGAAGAACCUCACCUGGGUUUGACAUGUAGCUGCUCAUCCUAUGAAAGUAGGACUCCUUCGAGGGUGCUACACAGGUGCUGCAUGGCUGUCGUCAGUUCGUUCCGUGAGGAGUGCCCUUAAGUGGGACAACGAACGCAACCCCCAUCGUAUGUUAUAUCUGUCAUACGAAACUGCCUUGCCGUUGGCGAGGAGGAAGGAGGGGCAGACGUCAAGUCUGCAUGGUCCUUAUGCCCAGGGCUACACACAUGUUACAAUGAGAAGGAACAAUGAGCAUUGCGAACUCGCGAGGGUAAGCAAAUCUCAGAAAUCUUCUCUCAGUGGGGAUUGGAGUCUGCAAUUCGACUCCAUGAACGCGGAAUUGGUAGUAAUCGCGGGUCAGCUAUACCGCGGUGAUACGUUCUUGCCUCUUGCACACACCGCCCGUCAAGCCAACAAAGUCGGGG
rnacentral:rRNA from 1 species